UGAGUUUAUCUCCAUGCUUUAUUUAAUGGCUUAGUAAGAACAGCUUGCCCUAGGCGAACACUAACGCCCCGGAAAGACAGCACGGUGCCUAAGAAGAACUGAAACUCAAUAUUGUCUACAAAUAACGAAUUUUAAAAGUUGGACUUGAAUGUUGAAAAUGGGUUUAUAAAGGGAUGUUAUUUUAAAAGCACAUCAACGCUGGUUUUUGUUUGAUUUGGGGUUUUUGAUUGGUUUGGGUUUUGAGACAGAGUCUCACACAACCCAAGUUGGCUCAAAAACUCCUGCCCCUCUGGAACCACAGACACACAGUGUCGCUUGCUGUUAUCCAAUAGCUCGGUGAAUUUCAAACUUUCACCCUAAAGAAUUGCUCUUCCUACUCGAUCAUUCAACUGCUACAUCCUGAGCCUCCAUUACAUUCCAGAGACGGGCACAGUAUGAACAGUAGACAAAGUUCCAUCCUCGAGAUGACAUGUUCUGGGAGCGAGCAAGACAGAGAGAGGUCAGACGACCUCAUGGGAUACCCUGGAACUGCAGUUACAGGCGGUUGUGAGCCAGCAUGUGCGUGCUGGAAACCGAACUUGGAUCCCCUGAAAGAGCGACUGGCAACAAGCCAGUUCCUAUUCAUCAGCCUUGCCCCACCUGCCGCUUGACUCCCUGCUUCAGAGGCGACUUCACAGCGCUGCAGUGAUCCACAGAGCCCGGAAUCGCGCCUCUCAUCACCUGCUCAGAGGAGGUGCCAAUGACGUGGGUGUUCGUGCGCGAAAUCCAGCGAGAUCUUCCCCUUUUCGACUGGUAAAAACUCCCAAGACAUCAUUAUAGAGAGAAAAGUACGAAGCCUGCGCUCUCUGCCCUUCCCGGCUUCAGAUGCUGUGAAACUGCUUUGGAUAAACAACUGGUCCAAUAGUUCUUUAGCAAUCUCCUGGUCGCUUAGGUCGCUUUACUUUCGGCAAAGACCCCACCGCCAGCGAAACUGCAACUUUUGAGCAGGCAGUGCCCUCUAGUGCCUGUACUUAAAUAACAACUUAAACGCUGCCCCUCUUAUCAAAUAUUAAAGCAAAAGCAGAGUCUGCCAAAAAUCAAA